AAUUGUAGAGCACACAGUGUUUAACAAGUAACCAAUGAGAAUUCCUGAUCUAUCAAUUUGUUGGUAGUAUCGAGGACUACCAAGAUUAUAACGGAUAACGAGGAAUUGGGGUUCGACAUCGGAGAGGGAGCUUUACAGAUGGCUACCACUUCUACGGAAGGCAGCAGGCGCGUAAAUUACCCACUUUCGACGUGAAGAGGUAGUGACGACAAAUAACUCUCG
rnacentral:rRNA from 1 species